AGCGAAGUUCAUUGGUCUGUCUUGGAAGUGUGGACGGGCGUCGAGAAUUAAGUACGUCCGCCGUGUGUUCCCCUAACUGAUCCAAAUCGACCCAUCACGUAAAUUGUCGUCGAUAAUUGAUGCCACAAAGUAACGCAACUGUGUUAUCUUUGCUGGACGCAAUCAUCUGCUUCUACGUAAAGGAUACGUCUAGCGGGGUCGAAGGACUCGAAAUGGCAGCAGGAAACAAUACAAACACAUACAAAUCUAACGUCGAACCUCGCGAGUUCCUGCAGCAGGUCACAGCGUCGAGGAUGAUUUUUAUACAGCGUAACGUAUACGCAGCUUUAUUAACAAAAGAAAGUUGGCAUCAGUAUCAUUCCGGAUAACGACUGACACUCUUGUACUGAGUUAGUCGAAGCCACCGCGUCCGUAUCUCAUAAAAGUAUUCUACCAUCUUCUUCGACGGAACGACGUUAUAUAAUUUCGUAUGCGGUCCGUGCAAAAUAUGAACAAGUUAUCCCUAGCAAGCUGAACAUAGUCCCUAGAACGUGCGUCUCGUAAAGUUGGUUGAUAAUGGGAAGAUUCGAGGACACGCAUGCUGUCGAGUUAGUGGCGAUGGUGAGAUAAAUGCGUAAAGGUGAGCUGAAUAACACUGGGAACAAAUGGCAAGCGAAAGUUCUCAAGGUCGCAUUCAGCAGUCGUUGCGGCUAGCACGUCUAUGGAUGGUGCCUGAUUUACCGCUUAGGGAACGCGAAGCUCUCACGCAAAUAGGCUCAUGGAGAACAGAGUGCGAUGGAAAGGGAACAAUUUGCGGGAAGCCGCUAAGACUGUCCUAAAAAUUUGUCGUCUCAUUUCGCCGCACAAUCGUCAAUUGUGGUCAGUUAAGAAAGAAAAAUAAAAUACCGAAACGCGUAUUCACCAGAAACUCUUUUGUCACAGCCAACUUCUUUGCGCUUUUGACCUUGGUUAGUUUGGCCUAAACGAUGGUAAGGAAAGGCAUAAAGAGGCUGAAUACGAUUAGAGGCAAAUCGGAGAUUUAUG